rnacentral:rRNA from 1 species
GACGAACGCUGGCGGCGUGCUUAACACAUGCAAGUCGAACGGAAAGGCCCUGCUUUUGUGGGGUUCUCGAGUGGCGAACGGGUGAGUAACACGUGAGUAACCUGCCCUUGACUUUGGGAUAACUUCAGGAAACUGGGGCUAAUACCGGAUAGGAGCUCCUGCUGCAUGGUGGGGGUUGGAAAGUUUCGGCUGUUGGGGAUGGACUCGCGGCUUAUCAGCUUGUUUGUGGGGUAGUGGCUUACCAAGGCUUUGACGGGUAGCCGGCAUGAGAGGGUGAACGGCCACCUUGGGACUGCGAUAGGGAGCAGACUGCUACGGGAGGCAGUGGUGGGGAAUAUUGCACAAUGGGGGGAAGCCUGAUGCAGAAACGCCGGGUGCGGGAUAACGGCCUUCGGGUUGUAAACAGAUUUCGACUGUGACAAAGCGUGAGUGACGGUAAUGGGUAAAGAAGCCCCGGCUAACUACGUG